UGUAAAUAUAUAAGUUUAGGCACUGA
rnacentral:piRNA from 1 species